rnacentral:lncRNA from 1 species
GCCUUCCUUCCUACUUCUCUUCCGCAUCCCUCGAGCACUGCCCACCGCCAACUUGUUUGGGCCGCGUCUUCAGGUCCCGCCCACCUCCAGUCCCAGCCCUACACACACCCCCGGUCACCCUUUCGGUCCCGCCUCCUUCCGGCUCCUUCCCAGAGUGGCCACCUUUGGGCCCCUUCUCCCGGCUCGGCUUCCGGGCCCGCCUCCUUCUGCCCGGCUUCAAUCUUUCCUCGGGUACUGGGUUUCUUUCAACCCCGCCUCCAGCCCCCUCCUCUAAGAGCCUCUCCUCCCCCAGACUCGCCGGGCCUCCCUCCACCCUUGACGUCUCCUUUGGGCAAACCUCCAUUUAGCCCCGCCCACACCCCUCCUCUCACACACUGCCCGGGUUCUCCGCUCUGCGAGGCCUCCACUGUCUUCCAUACCUGUGUCGCGCGUCUCUGCUCUCUGGCAUCAUCACCCUCUCCGCCCUGCCCCGCCUUCCGCUUCAUACUGGUUUAAGCAAGUCUCUCUCCGCCCUAGCUCCGCCUCCCCAACCUCCCAUCUCUGUCCCUCCUCCCCAUCAAGCCCCGCCCUGGCCCCGCCUUCCUUUUCUCCCCGCCGAAGCUCUGGACCUUUCCAAAGCUAGGCUGGAGAGGUGGGACGAGCCCUUGCGCGUGGGGGGCCGGGCUGUGUCAGGGCGACGCUACGGACUCCUCGCGCUUGAGUCGCCGUGCCCUUUGGAGACAGAGGCGGGGGAAGAGGGCGACUGGGCCACGGCCGGAGCGGCGGGCGGCGCGGAGCCCGCUCCGUGCUCCCCUACCCCCGCGCGCCAAAGUGGUGCUGGCCGAGGGAAGGACUCGCGGCUGCGGGGCUCGCGCGGCUGUCAGUGCGGCGGGGCGCGCGAGCAGCGCGGCUGCGGGGUGGGCUGAGCCGAGAGAAGCUGAGGGGGCGGUAGCGGCAGCGGCGAUUCGCGUGCCUGUGCUCAGCUCCUCACGCCGCGGCCGGGGCCGCCUUCUCCCUCCUUCCUUCCCGCCCCCGAGUGCGGCGGUACCGCCUCCUUCAGCGCCGCGCGGCUUCCUCCAGACCUCCGUGCGCGGGCAACCUAGGAAAUCCAGGCCUUUGGGUUGAGAUGUGAAUCAGCCAUACAAUAUUUAACUCCAG